UCAAUCUCGUGCGGCUAUAUAUACCGCCGGUCCCUCUAAGAAGAUUUUCAUUUGACGCCGGUAGUGAAAGCACCGCACCCGCGGCCGCCGUCGCAGNNNGUACGCGCGCGCACGGCGCUCCGGCUAAACACAGCGGGCGCAGACCCUCGUGAUACCGUUGUGCGUCUAUUUAAUAGGCUAGAGUUACGUUCGUUAC
rnacentral:rRNA from 1 species